GUCCCCCAUCGUGGCGAUUUGUUCACCGGAUUGCGGGCCACGUUAAACAUGCCGCUAAAGAGGUCUGGGAUUGCGCACA
rnacentral:ncRNA from 1 species